UUUAAGUGGUUCCUCGUCUCUCUUUACCUCUGCAGGUAAAAACCUCCCUGAGGAGAAGAGGAAGGAGUUCUGUGAAGAGAUAAGAAAAAUGCGUGAGAUACUAAACAAACUGCGGUCCACUGGUGAAAACCUCCCUGAGGAGAAGAGGGACGAGUUCUAUGAAGAGAACGAACAUCAACUAUAGAAACUUCCCACUGUGCGGCACCUAUAAAAUGAGCUGUGACUCAGGUGAGA